rnacentral:rRNA from 1 species
AGCAGUAGCCACGGGAAUACGUAGGGUGCAAGUGUUAAUCGGAAUUACUGGGCGUAAAGCGUGCGUAGGCGGUGAGUUAAGUCUGCUGUGAAAUCCCCGGGCUCAACCUGGGAAUGGCAGUGGAUACUGGCUCGCUAGAGUGUGUCAGAGGAUGGUGGAAUUCCCGGUGUAGCGGUGAAAUGCGUAGAGAUCGGGAGGAACAUCAGUGGCGAAGGCGGCCAUCUGGGACAACACUGACGCUGAGGCACGAAAGCGUGGGGAGCAAACAGGAUUAGAUACCCCCGUAGUCCCUGUCUCUUAUAC